GUGCCUGAACUUAAGCAAGGCUACCCGCUGAAC
rnacentral:rRNA from 1 species